GAUGAACGCUGGCGGCGUGCCUAACACAUGCAAGUCGAGCGAGAUUUAGUGGAGUGCGGACUUCGGUCCAAGUGAAGCUGAUGGAAGCGGCGGACGGGUGAGUAACGCGUGGGCAACCUGCCCCAUACAAAGGGAUAGCCACUGGAAACGGUGAUUAAUACCUUAUAAGUCGGUAGUUUCGCAUGAAACAGCCGACAAAGAUUUAUCGGUAUGGGAUGGGCCCGCGUUUGAUUAGCUAGUUGGUGAGGUAACGGCUCACCAAGGCGACGAUCAAUAGCCGACCUGAGAGGGUGAUCGGCCACACUGGAACUGAGACACGGUCCAGACUCCUACGGGAGGCAGCAGUGGGGAAUAUUGCACAAUGGGCGCAAGCCUGAUGCAGCAACGCCGCGUGAGUGAUGAAGGCCUCGGUCGUAAACGUACUAGUCCUA
rnacentral:rRNA from 1 species